rnacentral:rRNA from 1 species
GAUGAACGCUGACAGAAUGCUUAACACAUGCAAGUCUACUUGAACUUCGGUUUGGGUGGCGGACGGGUGAGUAACGCGUAAAGAACUUGCCUCACAGUUAGGGACAACAUUUGGAAACGAAUGCUAAUACCUGAUAUUAUGAUUUUAGGGCAUCCUAAGAUUAUGAAAGCUAUAUGCGCUGUGAGAGAGCUUUGCGUCCCAUUAGCUAGUUGGAGAGGUAACGGCUCACCAAGGCGAUGAUGGGUAGCCGGCCUGAGAGGGUGAACGGCCACAAGGGGACUGAGACACGGCCCUUACUCCUACGGGAGGCAGCAGUGGGGAAUAUUGGACAAUGGACCAAAAGUCUGAUCCAGCAAUUCUGUGUGCACGAUGACGUUUUUCGGAAUGUAAAGUGCUUUCAGUUGGGAAGAAAAAAUGACGGUACCAACAGAAGAAGUGACGGCUAAAUACGUGCCAGCAGCCGCGGUAAUACGUAUGUCACAAGCGUUAUCCGGAUUUAUUGGGCGUAAAGCGCGUCUAGGUGGUUAUGUAAGUCUGAUGUGAAAAUGCAGGGCUCAACUCUGUAUUGCGUUGGAAACUGCAUGACUAGAGUACUGGAGAGGUAAGCGGAACUACAAGUGUAGAGGUGAAAUUCUUUGAUUUUUGUAGGAAUGCCGAUGGGGAAACCCAGCUUACUGGACAGAUACUGACGCUUAAGCGCGAAAGCUGUGGGUAGCAAACAGG